rnacentral:rRNA from 2 species
UACAGAGGGUGCGAGCGUUAAUCGGAUUUACUGGGCGUAAAGGGCACGCAGGCGGCUAUUUAAGUGAGGUGUGAAAUCCCCGGGCUUAACCUGGGAAUUGCAUUUCAGACUGGGUAGCUAGAGUACUUUAGGGAGGGGUAGAAUUCCACGUGUAGCGGUGAAAUGCGUAGAGAUGUGGAGGAAUACCGAAGGCGAAGGCAGCCCCUUGGGAAUGUACUGACGCUCAUGUGCGAAAGCGUGGGGAGCAAAC